rnacentral:rRNA from 1 species
UACGAAGGGGGCUAGCGUUGCUCGGAAUGACUGGGCGUAAAGGGCGCGUAGGCGGUUUGUACAGUCAGAUGUGAAAUUCCUGGGCUCAACCUGGGGGCUGCAUUUGAUACGUGCGGACUUGAGUGAGGAAGAGGGUCGUGGAAUUCCCAGUGUAGAGGUGAAAUUCGUAGAUAUUGGGAAGAACACCGGUGGCGAAGGCGGCGAGCUGGCCUGUACCUGACGCUGAGGCGCGACAGCGUGGGGAGCAACAGG